UACGGAGGGGGCUAGCGUUGUUCGGAAUUACUGGGCGUAAAGCGUACGUAGGCGGCUUUGUAAGUUAGAGGUGAAAGCCCGGGGCUCAACUCCGGAAUUGCCUUUAAGACUGCAUCGCUUGAAUCAUGGAGAGGUUAGUGGAAUUCCGAGUGUAGAGGUGAAAUUCGUAGAUAUUCGGAAGAACACCAGUGGCGAAGGCGACUAACUGGACCGGUAUUGACGCUGAGGUGCGAAAGCGUGGGGAGCAAACAGG
rnacentral:rRNA from 1 species